CUAACACAGCAAACAAUUAUCCUUCUGUCACCUUGGAACUCAGAAUGUGGUCACUGUCCAGUUGUGAAAACAAUUCACAGGAGGGGACACCCAGAGCAACAGCAAACAGAUUCGAUGGAACGAUGGCUCUGAGCUGAAACAGGGUGGGAACUGCUAAGACUCUCCAGGAGAAGCAUAGAAGUUAUUCUACACUUGAAAUUCCAAGGAUGUCAUUACAGCUCUAAGCAGGCAACAUACAGGGCUGCAACCCGGGGAGUCCUGAGAAAGGUGGGCACAUGAGGAUGCAAAUCCCAGAAAAGAAAAGUCUGUUGUAUUCCAUGGAGAUGAAGCCAUACAAGAGGCAACUAUGUGUCACUUGUAAUGUUCACCACAUUCACAAAAAGAGUAGAAGACCUUGGCAUCAGAUUUUAUUGUGUAUUUUAUCACUGUGUCUAUGAAAUAUAAAAGGAUUGAAAUUAAAGGCGCCACAGCCAAAAGGAAACAAAACAAAAUAAUCUGCUU